AUACGGAGGAUGCGAGCGUUAUCCGGAUUUAUUGGGUUUAAAGGGAGCGUAGGUGGGAUAUUAAGUCAGCUGUGAAAGUUUGGGGCUCAACCUUAAAAUUGCAGUUGAUACUGGUUUCCUUGAGUACGGUAUAGGUGGGCGGAAUUCGUGGUGUAGCGGUGAAAUGCUUAGAUAUCACGAAGAACUCCGAUCGCGAAGGCAGCUCACCGGGCCGGAACUGACACUGAUGCUCGAAAGCGCGGGUAUCAAACAGGAUUAGAUACCCUGGUAGUCCGCACAGUAAACGAUGAAUACUCGCUGUUUGCGAUACACUGUAAGCGGCCAAGCGAAAGCGUUAAGUAUUCCACCUGGGGAGUACGCCGGCAACGGUGAAACUCAAAGGAAUUGACGGGG
rnacentral:rRNA from 1 species